UUCAUUCAUUCAGAUUUGAACAUUACAUGGAUUUUUUAUGGAAUUAAAAAAAUAUCUGUGGAAUGUAAAGAUAAAAUAUAAACUCUUGUAUGAGUGAAAUUACAAUAAUAAUUGCAAUGAUAAUGAUUCAAAUAUCAAAUAUAAGAAAUAUUUUGGAUGUUGGUCGUCGAGUUUGUAAGAUUCGAGAGAUUGUGUUCAAAGAAGUUUCAAAAUUUUCUAUAACAUAUUUUAAAAUCAUCAAAAUUAUACAUUAAUAAAUUGACCGAGUUGAAAAGGAUGUGACUUAAGAGAAAGAAAGGAGAAGAAAAAAAAAACAUAAGAAUCGAGGAAAUAGAAAUUUUAAAACUAACGAAAUUUUAAUCCAUAGAAAACAAUUAUCUGAAGAAUUUGAUAAAGCAAAUUUGUUUCCAUGUGAAAGGGAUGUAAGGAAGAAAAUAGAAAAUAAUGCUUUAAUAACAAGAGGAAUCAAGAAACUUAUGCUCCAAAGGAAGAGAACAGAAGAUAUUUGCACGUGCUCUAAAAAAAUAAGGAAUCAAAAAAUUUAUGCUCUAAA